UGAAACUGCUGCUCGUCUUCGUGACAUCUUAACAAGGCCUGGUCGCGUUGUUUACCGACAAGUGUUUUCAUUUGUGGCAGCCUACUGGGAUCCAGACCAGGAACGGGUGACCACAGGGGAGCUGGAGGGGGGAGUCAGGGCACACUGUCUGCCUCUCAUCUGCCUCAUCUGCCCCAACUAAUCCUGCCAUAAAAGCCGGGGUCGCUACAGGUGCUGUGUGGUGUCAGGGGCCCCCGGUGAGCAGCUCCUCGCUCCUGUCACCUCUACUAACACCGGCCCUCGUCAGCAGGGGCCGAGCGCCAGCGCUGCAGCCUCCCACUCCUCCUGUCACCUGUCCUCACGCAGGCCAAGGUGACUUUGUUCCCUCCUGAUGGAAAAAUGACAGCUACUGCAGCUACAACAUCCGAAAAAGUCAGGGAGCAACCAGUUGGCUUCUCUGUCCUUUUCUCUCAGCCUCUGUUUCUCCUUUCUCACCCCUCCCUCCCUCCCUCCUUUCCUCCUUUCCUCCCUCCCACUGUGUUUUACUCUGUACAUUUUGUGCUGCUUUUAAAUCCGCCUGAAAAUUCACUUUACUUGGUGGUGUUUUUUUGUUUUUUUUUUCCUUCAGCAUACUUGUCAGCAGAGUGCUGCUGUGUAUGUGAUAUGUCUAGCCCUUCCUCAGUAAAGCUUAUUAUUGCAUUAUUAUGUCGUGAUUUGCAAUAAC